UGCGAAGGGGGCUAGCGUUGUUCGGAAUUACUGGGCGUAAAGGGCGCGUAGGCGGCCUGCUAAGUCGAACGUGAAAUCCCUGGGCUCAACCCAGGAACUGCGUCCGAUACUGGUUGGCUUGAAUCCGGGAGAGGGACGUGGAAUUCCAGGUGUAGCGGUGAAAUGCGUAGAUAUCUGGAGGAACACCGGUGGCGAAGGCGACGUCCUGGACCGGCAUUGACGCUGAGGCGCGAAAGCUAGGGGAGCAAACAGG
rnacentral:rRNA from 1 species